rnacentral:rRNA from 1 species
UACGAAGGGGGGCUAGCGUUGUUCGGAAUUACUGGGCGUAAAGGGCGCGUAGGCGGCCUUCUAAGUCGGACGUGAAAUCCCUCGGCUUAACCGAGGAACUGCGUCCGAUACUGAAAGGCUUGAAUCCGGGAGAGGGAUGUGGAAUUCCAGGUGUAGCGGUGAAAUGCGUAGAUAUCUGGAGGAACACCGGUGGCGAAGGCGGCAUCCUGGACCGGCAUUGACGCUGAGGCGCGAAAAGCUAGGGGGAGCAAACGGGG